UCGCAUGUUCAAAGUAAAUAAAAAUUAUAGUUUUAAAAUGGCACCUCCGACUAUAGCAAUUUAAUGUCAUUAAAUGACAACGUAUAAUGCACUGCAUUGUUAUUUACGGUAGAGUUAAAAUUAAUUGUCUGGCUAUAAAAUCCAAGCGCGAACUUGAUUUAUUGUUAGUGUUAUUUUUUAUUUGAUAAAACAGGUCUUAUAGCGAAAAUGUUUAAAUACUUUGUUGUGCUCUUUAUAAGUGCAAUGUUUAUCGGGAAUAGUAAGCAACAAGGGCCGGGUGGUGGCGCGGGUGGUCAAGCCGAUUUUGGCAUGCAGGCAGGUGGAAAUGGAGGGUUCGGUGGUGGCGGACCUAACGGAGGCGGUGACGCUGGAUUUGGGGCUGGGUUUAACGCAAACGCGGGAGCACGGGGAGACGCAGGGCAAGGCGGGAAUAAAGGGUAACAUACGAGCGUAAAACGAGGAACCUACUUUAGUACGAUACAAUUUAAAAAAAAGUGUAGCAUCUCACUUUAAUAAUAAACUGCAUACCUUACAUGUGUUAAUAUUU